rfam:Coniochaeta ligniaria NRRL 30616 unplaced genomic scaffold CONLIGscaffold_5, whole genome shotgun sequence.
GGUAGCAUGCCAGAGUGGUUAAUGGGUUAGCCUCGAACCGCUAUUGGCUUUGGAAAGCUAAUGGCUUCGGAAAGCUAAUGGCUUCGGCCGCACAGGUUCGAAUCCUGUUGCUAUCG